UACGAAGGAUGCAAGCGUUAUCCGGAUUUAUUGGGUUUAAAGGGUGCGUAGGCGGACUUAUAAGUCAGUGGUGAAAUCUCGUUGCUUAACAACGAACGUGCCAUUGAUACUGUAGGUCUUGAGUACAGAUGCCGUUGGCGGAAUGUGUCAUGUAGCGGUGAAAUGCAUAGAUAUGACGCAGAACACCGAUUGCGAAGGCAGCUGACGAAACUGUAACUGACGCUGAGGCACGAAAGCGUGGGGAUCAAACAGG
rnacentral:rRNA from 1 species